rnacentral:rRNA from 1 species
GACGGAGGAUGCAAGCUGUUAUCCGGAAUCACUGGGCGUAAAGCGUCUGUAGGUGGUUUAAUAAGUCAACUGUUAAAUCUUGAGGCUCAACCUCAAAAUCGCAGUCGAAACUAUUAGGCUAGAGUAUAGUAGGGGUAAAGGGAAUUUCCAGUGGAGCGGUGAAAUGCGUAGAGAUUGGAAAGAACACCGAUGGCGAAGGCACUUUACUGGGCUAUUACUAACACUCAGAGACGAAAGCUAGGGUAGCAAUGGG